UACACUUCAACCUCAUUCAACUAGGAGGAGCAAGGGAUAACAUCUCGCUCUAACAAAUGGUCGGUGCUAAGGAAAUCGUUAUAAAUUUGGAAAGCUAUAUUGCAUUUUUUAAAGAAAAACUCGACAUAUUGCGAGCAGGCUGAUUAAGUACGAUAAUUUUAAUCAACAUUUUAAGCGGGUGUUGACCUUUCACCCACAUUUUCUGGUAGUACCGUUGCGUGUUUGUUUGUUAGGCUAACUAAGGCCCUAUCUGCAACAUGAGCUAUGGUAGGCCCCCGCCCGAUGUUGAGGGCAUGACUUCUCUUAAAGUGGAUAAUCUGACGUACCGAACCUCACCUGAGACCCUUCGCCGUGUCUUUGAAAAGUAUGGUAGGGUAGGAGAUGUUUACAUCCCUCGAGAUCGUUAUACGAAAGAGAGCAGAGGGUUCUCCUUUGUGCGAUUCCAUGACAAGCGGGACGCAGAGGAUGCGAUGGACGCAAUGGACGGUGCCGUGCUGGACGGACGCGAGCUAAGAGUCCAGAUGGCCCGUUACGGACGUCCCCCAGAUUCUCAUCAUGGAGGCGGUGGUGACCGUGGAGAUCGUGGUGACCGUCGGCGUGGAGGUGCACCCCGGAGGUACGGGGGUGAUGGCCGACGAAGUAGGAGUCCGAGGCGUCGGAGACGCAGCAGAUCCCGGAGCAGAAGCCGAUCUCGUUCCCGCAGCCGCUCCCGCAACAGCCGAUCAAGGUCUCGUUCCUACUCUCGCUCCAAAUCUCGCUCCCCCAAGAGAGACAAGGCCAAGUCCCCGUCCAGGUCCCGCUCCAGAUCCAAGUCUCCCAAGUCAAAGUCUCGUUCCAGGAGCCACACCCCUGCGGAAAGAGCCUCAAGAUCAAGAUCCAAGAGCCAGCCCAAGUCACCUGGGGAGAAUGGAGCUGAAACCCCAUAGAUGACUGACAAAAUGGUAAGUGUUGGGCAAGGAGAUGGGACCUUAACACUACGUCUUUGAGGCGAAGUCUAGCAUUACACUAGUUUGUAUGAAUAGCAUAGGGAGGGUGAUGUGGGGAUAUUAUGUGUGGGAUGGAUUUGCACUGUCUCCCUUUUCCAUGGUUAUCUGUGGUUGAAUAGAAGGGGGUUGGUUGUGGGAUGUUUUGACAAUGUGAACUGCUUUAAGUCUUUCCACCUCAGUGGUCAUGCAUAUUACUGUAACACUGGGCAUGGCAAAGAGGAAUGGAAAACUCCCAUGUGGUGGUUGCCUUAAACCCACAUUUGAUGGAUUUUGAGGACUAUUCCUUGGUCACACUUUUUUCUGUCCUGCCCAAUGUUCCAGUUCAUUAUCAGUGUAGAGGAAAUUUAGGUCCAUUCUUGCAUUGUACAUAUGUGGCAUUUGAGAAUACAUUUUUACCGUAAAAAUAAAAUGUUCAUAAAAAAAUCUGGAAUUCUCUCCUCCAAGCUGCGGAAUCCUGUUUGCAAAAGAGGAGUUUGAGGCAGUAUGAGCAGUUAGUGAGCUGGGUGUGUGAGCUGUCCGGGCACCUGCUGCUGUGGGGGUUGCUAUGGAGCAGGCCGGUUGCAGUCAGUGUUGGGGUGGUGUUGAGAUGAGAUGCCAAUGAGGACAUCACACUUCAGACUGAGGACCCUGUCCAUACAAUGAUUUCUGUGUAAAAGGUUAUUAUUGUAUCUUGAUCUGAAGGCUGUGUUUUUUUUUUUUUUCGUUUGCUCAGACUGCUUGUCUUUCAUUGUGCAAUGUUUAAAAAUAAGAACUAUGCUUACUGUGCUUUUGAGGUAAAUGGGCUAAAACUGCUGGGAUUUCAAUUUGUUGGACUGCGGCUAUUUGUCAUAGUGAAGAUUUGAUGGCCUAGCUUUUACAACUGUUAUUUUGGGUUUCAUGAAGACAGUUGUUAUAGGGUUGGUAUAAGGCUAUUAGAAGUUCAAAUGGAUAGGGCUUUUAGAAUAAGUAUGCAAAGAACCAGGCAUGGAUUUACUUGCAGGUCAACUUUGCUAUGUAGCUUUGUUUCAUUUCAUUGUGACUCUAAUCUUCUCUCCUGUAUUUUUUGUGCACUAGGCGCAGUUGUGUAGCAGUUGAGUAUUGCUGGUUAGCUGUUAAGGUGGCGUGUUGCAGUGCUUGGCUGUUUCCAGUGUUCUCCGGAAUGCCCCUGUGGCUACAAUGCUGUGAUGGUGGCCAACUUAAAUGAUUGCUACAAAUUCACCAUCGGUAGAAUGCCUGUCUUUCAACAAGUUUAAAUGUUCUCUUAUUCAGAGCACUAAUUAUGGUGUGCUAAUUUUGUUUAAUGCAUUCUGUCUUGCCCUUUGUGCAUUCCUUUUCCCCCUUGCAAGAGUCUGUAUAGGUGUCCAAUGUGAAAGCUAAUAAAAAUUGUCUUCAAAAACA